GGAGAGUUGGCUCAGUGGUUAAAAGUAUUUAUUGUUAUUGCAAAGAACCUGGGUUCGAUUCCCAGACUUACAU
rnacentral:tRNA from 1 species